rnacentral:miRNA from 3 species
AAAGUUCUGUGACACUCAGACU